AAAUCAUUCCCGGAACCCUUGAGCACGGUGAUGUCCUAUGACACCCAAGUCCAGGCACUUAGGUGAUUCUGAGCCUUCACGCAGCUGGCACAGCAGAGGCAAGAAAGAAAAGAGAGGAAAAGCCAUCUCACCCAGGAUAUUAACACCUCUGCGUCACACUUAAGACCUGCUGUGAAAACUACCCAUCCUCUGUGAAGACACCAUCCCAAGACGAGCUUGGUGGCACAGGCUUUGAAUCCAAAAUGGGAGGCCAAUGUAGGUGGAUGACAAACUGAAGAUUGGCAUGGGCUGCAGCGUCCGUCAGGGUCAGCCCAAGUGAAACCCUAUCUCAAAGGCAACAAGCAAAGCAGGGGAUGAAGCUGAGGUAGAGGGCUUACCUAGCUUCAUUGAGGCCCUGGGUUCAAGUCUAGUACUGAAAAAUGAACGAAAAUGAUCAAGAACA
rnacentral:lncRNA from 1 species